GACGAACGCUGGCGGCGUGCUUAACACAUGCAAGUCGAACGGAAAGGCCCUGCUUUUGUGGCGUGCUCGAGUGACGAACGGGUAAGUAACAAGUGACUAACCUACCCUUGACUGUGGGAUAACUUCAAGUAACUGGAGCUCAUACCAGAUGGGACUUCCUGCUGCAGGGGGGGGGUAGGAACGGUCGGGCGUUGGGGGACGGCCGGGCGGCUAAUCAGCUGGUGGGUGGGGGAGUGGCUAACCAGGGCUUGGACGGGCAGCCGGCCUGGGAGGCUGACCGGCCACAUGGGGCCUGGGAUACGGCCCAGACUCCUACGGGAGGCAGCGGUGGGGAAUAUUGCACAAUGGGCGGAAGCCUGAUGCAGCAACGCCGCGUGCGGGAUGAGGGCCUUCGGUUUGUAACCCGCUUUCGCCUGUGACGAGGCGUGAGUGACGGUAAUGGGUAAAGAAGCACCGGCUAACUACGUG
rnacentral:rRNA from 1 species